UGGUGGUGGUGAUGCAAGAGACGCUAUAUACUGGUGGUGAACAUCCUUAGUAUUUAUUUAUGGUGGUGGUGAGUGGUGAUGAGCAGAUGAGAUGGAUGGUGAAGGUUAUAUGAGUGAAUAGUAAUUUUGGGGAGUAAUUUAGAAGCAAGGGAGAAGGAAGAGGAGGAGGAGGAGAUGUGAAGGAAGAAUGAAGAAGUGGGAAGAGAGAAAUAAGAGGGAGAUGAGAAGGGAAGAGGAGGAAGAAAGGAAGGAUAGAAAAAGGAAAGGAGAUGAAAGAGACAGAAACAAGGAAAAACAACAAUACAGAUCAAAGAAAACAAGGAAAAACAACUAUACAAAUCAAGGGAAACAAGGAAAACAACAAUACUAAUCAAAGAAAACAAGGAAAAACAACAAUACUAAGCAAAGGAAACAAGGAAAACAACAAUACAUAUCAAAGGAAACAAGGAAAAACAACAAUACAAAUCAAGGGAAACAAGGAAAACAACAAUACUAAUCAAAGGAAACAAGGAAAACAACAA